AGAGUUUGAUCCUGGCUCAGAACGAACGCUGGCGGCAUGCCUAACACAUGCAAGUCGAACGAUGGCUUCGGCCAUAGUGGCGCACGGGUGAGUAACACGUGGGAACCUGCCUUUCGGUUCGGAAUAACGUUUGGAAACGAACGCUAACACCGGAUACGCCCUUCGGGGGAAAGUUUACGCCGAGAGAGGGGCCCGCGUCCGAUUAGGUAGUUGGUGGGGUAACGGCCUACCAAGCCGACGAUCGGUAGCUGGUCUGAGAGGAUGAUCAGCCACACUGGGACUGAGACACGGCCCAGACUCCUACGGGAGGCAGCAGUGGGGAAUAUUGGACAAUGGGCGCAAGCCUGAUCCAGCAAUGCCGCGUGAGUGAUGAAGGCCUUAGGGUUGUAAAGCUCUUUCGCACGCGACGAUGAUGACGGUAGCGUGAGAAGAAGCCCCGGCUAACUUCGUGCCAGCAGGCGCGGUAAUACGAAGGGGGCUAGCGCAGAUCGGAAUUACUGGGCGUAAAGGGCGC
rnacentral:rRNA from 1 species